rnacentral:rRNA from 1 species
UACAGAGGGUGCAAGCGUUGUUCGGAAUUACUGGGCGUAAAGGGUGUCUAGGCGGUCGGGUAAGUCGGAUGUGAAAGCCCUUGGCUCAACCAAGGAAGUGCAUUCGAAACUGCUCGGCUGGAGUGCGGGAGAGGGGAGCGGAAUUCCCAGUGUAGAAGUGAAAUUCGUAGAUAUUGGGAGGAACACCGGUGGCGCAAGCGGCUCCCUGGCCCAGCACUGACGCUGAAACACGAAAGCGUGGGUAGCAAACAGG